GGCGGCUCGUGAGAUGUCGCAGGGCACAGACGGCCGGCUCGGCCACAUCCUCCUUCUCUCCAGCUCGAAGCACAGCAUGAAUCAGGGCCUCGACCCCACCACACUGAGCGACCAGGGCUUUGUUGCGUGCGUUGUUGCAGAUCAAGACACUCUGGGCGGUCAUUAAAGGGUUAAACUUUCAACACACUGAGUCAUGUGACAAAGCAACAUGGUGCCGAUCACAGCUGAGUUUGUCUUUGGGAGAAACACCAACAAAAAUACAUCUGCUUCUCAGCAGGGCUGGGAAAAUCAAAUUCACAACAGGAGCUUGGCAGGAGUGUCUGUGGGAGAGCACAAGGUUUUGCCAGACUCCUGGAGUGAAGCUGAUGAUACUAUGAGUCACCUCACGCCAAGACUCGAAUUACAAAGUCACCUGCACUUCUCGGCUCUCACACUCAGAAAAGCAGCAACCACGAUCAGUGCUUCCAACCUACAAUUACAACAACAUUUGCAAUAAUAUCUACACCAGUUGAUUUUAUUCCAUACAACAGAAUAUAAUUUUCUGAACAAGUAUUUUUGUCUUGUUUUCCAGUAAAAAUAUCUAAACAUCAUUAAAACAAGACACAUUUACUUGAUCUAAGCAACAUUGUGUAAGAAAAUGUUAAAAAGAAAAUUUAUCUUGAAAGUUUAUUUUUCAGACGCAGUUUGCAAAUUAUGUUUAUCUUGUUUUAAAGGAAUGAUCCGGGUUCAAUUCAAGUUCAGUCAACAUAAUUUGUAGCAUAAUAUUGAUUACUACAAACAAUUAAUUUCAACUUGUCCCUCCUUUUCUUAAAAAAAAAAAAAAAAAGCUCAUAUCUGUGUUACAGUGAGGCAUGUACAAUGGAAGUGAAUGGGGCCAAUCCAUAAAAGUUAAAAUCCUCAGUGUUUCAAAAUGUAGCCGCAAGAUGUGUGUUAACAUGAUUUUAGUGUGAUAAAAUCACUUACUAACCUUUUCUAUGUAAACUUCAAUGCCAUGACAUCAUAACGCCGUAAACCCUGAAAUGACCGUAAAAAUGACGAUUUAAACUUUACAGCUCAAACAACUUUCAAGUAUUAAAAGAAGAAAUAAUUUAAGUGUUUUUAUAAAAUCUUCACAUUUCUAACUUAAAACCCUCCAAAAAUUGGCUCCAUUCACUUCCCUUGUGAGUGCCACAAUGUAACCUCAAAUGUUUGAGGGAUGAGUCAAAAUAAAUUUUUAUGGUAAUCAACAUUAUGGCCUCUAUAUUUGUGAGCGCACAAAGCACAGCACUACACGCAACGAGCUGUGUGCUAUGUCUUAUCCAAUUUUCAUGAGAACGCUAAUUCUAAGCCCAUUUUUUGCCAGCUUAAAUGCAAGUGGGUGUAAGUGGGAGUGUUUGUGUAUACAUGUAUUAUAUGUUAAUGAAGCAGCGCAAAGCACAAUUUGCUAUUUUUCUGAGAAUUAGGUCAUAGCACUAUGACGUUUCAAAACCACACCUGUUUUCAGUGCAAAGUCUAAAUUCAGUUCCUGCAUUUCCACCAGCAGGUGGUAAUAAAGUUAAUGUCCAAACUCUGAAAAUAUAGAGGAACAUCAAAUUAUGUCCCUGCUAAUCACUGUCGUAGCCAUUUUAUGAAACAAAAAUGAUGAGAUAUGUGUUAAACUAUCUAUAGGUCAUGUUUUAUAACUGUAUUUAUGAUCUAAUUUGUAUUGGUAUUUUUCCACCUGUUGUCAUAGAGUGAUUUUUAUGUUACUACAAAACGGGCUUGUGGAAGAAGUUGGAAAGAGAAAAUGUUUGGAAUU